GAGGAAUAUUGGUCAAUGGGCGCAAGCCUGAACCAGCCAUCCCGCGUGCAGGAAGACGGCCCUAUGGGUUGUAAACUGCUUUUCCAGGGGGAGAAUUUUUCUGUCGUGACAGGAAUUGACGGUACCCUGGGAAUAAGCAUCGGCUAACUCCGUGCCAGCAGCCGCGGUAAUACGGAGGAUGCGAGCGUUAUCCGGAUUUAUUGGGUUUAAAGGGUGCGUAGGCGGAUUGAUAAGUCAGUGGUGAAAACCUGCAGCUUAACUGUAGACUUGCCGUUGAUACUGUCAGUCUUGAAUGUGGUCAAGGUAGGCGGAAUGUGUAAUGUAGCGGUGAAAUGCUUAGAUAUUACACAGAACACCGAUUGCGAAGGCAGCUUACUGGGCCAUUACUGACGCUGAUGCACGAAAGCGUGGGGAUCGAACAG
rnacentral:rRNA from 1 species